GCGGCAUGAGCUCAAAUUUGAAAUCUGGCCCCCUAAUCGGGGCCCGAGUUGUAAUUUGUAGAGGGCGCUUUGGUGUUGGCUGCGGCCCAAGUUCCUUGGAACAGGACAUCGCGGAGGGUGAGAAUCCCGUACGUGGCCGCGUGCCUUCGCCGUGUAAAGCCCCUUCGACGAGUCGAGUUGUUUGGGAAUGCAGCUCUAAUUGGGAGGUAAAUUUCUUCUAAAGCUAAAUACUGGCCAGAGACCGAUAGCGCACAAGUAGAGUGAUCGAAAGAUGAAAAGCACUUUGGAAAGAGAGUCAAAAAGCACGUGAAAUUGUUGAAAGGGAAGCGCUUGCAGCCAGACAUGCCCGUGGCUGCUCAUCCAGACCCCCCAAGGUCUGGUGCACUCUCCCACGGGCAGGCCAGCAUCGGUUUGAGCGGUUGGAUAAAGGCUCUGGGAAUGUAGCUCCCCUUUGGGGAGUGUUAUAGCCCGUUGCGGAAUGCAGCCAGCUCGGACCGAGGCCCGCGCGCAUGCUAGGAUGCUGGCGUAAUGGCUGUAAGCGGCCCGUCUUGAAACACGGACCAAGGAGUCUAACAUCUAUGCGAGUGUUUGGGUGUCAAGCCCGGGCGCGCAAUGAAAGUGAAUGGAGGUGGAAACCCCUUUGAGGGCGCACCAUCGACCGAUCCUGAUGUC
rnacentral:rRNA from 1 species